rnacentral:lncRNA from 1 species
AAGUGAGGCACACGCAGAUGAGACUCCACCUGCCCUGGGCAGCUUUCCUGAGCCUUGAGAAACCAGCUCACCAUGAAUCCAAGGUGUCUGCUGUUCCUUGCCACCAUUUCAUGGAACCUGUUGUAUGUACCUAUUCAUGUUUUCCAUGUUUCAAAUAUGACUGAACCUGACAUAUAUAAGAACGCAAAAGAUUCUUCAAAAUCAAACUGUGUCCGGAAUUGGUGGGUUCUUGGUCUCACUGACUUCAAGAAUGAAGCCACGGACCCUGGCGGUUGCUAGUAACACAAUAAUAAAGCUGCUUUAUUUUCCAGUGAAGAUGUAUGUGAUAGGGAGUGGAGGAAGAAAAAGGCCAGAAAAUUCCAUAGUUAGCAAAUAUACCUUUCUUACUUAAAAUUCUUUUUCCAAUGUGAGCCUUCUAAAGAGUUACUGAGAAAUUAGGUGAGCUCACCUCAUUUAAUGCAAUAGAUAUGUUUCUGAAAAAUAAGCAAUACAUAGGACAUUGGCCAAUUAAGAAUUCUGAUGAAGAAGAAUUUUCACAUCCGAAAGAGUAAAAAUGAAAAACGGUACAAAUGUAGUGGCUUUUAAAUUUCAAAACAAAUUAUUUUGAUAAGAUAAAUAUUCCUCUCAUAAAGUGAAAAUGGAAGAGACUGCUUGCUGGGUGUUCGUCAAAAUGGAGUUAGAUGGUCUGUCCCAGACUCCCCUGUUGUUAGUUCUGAGAACAGAAGUAAUGGUGCUUCUUCAGGACUGGCUCAUAGAAACCUGCCGUGUUCAGCCCCCACAAUCCUCUCCCUUCUGCUGGCUGGAAACAAAUGACAACGAAGCCUCACGUCUUGGAGAAACCACACUGCUGAGGAACUCAAGUCCUAGAAGAACCAUUUGAAGAGACCCAUCUCACUAAAGAAAAUCACACAAGCAAGAAGUAAACUUCAUUGUAUCUAUGUAUUUAAUUGUCAUAACAGUCUACCUUAACUGAUACAGCAAAAAUUCGCUCCUUUUCUGGA